rnacentral:rRNA from 1 species
AUACGUAGGGGGCGAGCGUUGUCCGGAAUGAUUGGGCGUAAAGGGCGCGUAGGCGGCCCGGUAAGUCUGGAGUGAAAGUCCUGUUUUUAAGAUGGGAAUUGCUUUGGAUACUGUCGGGCUUGAGUGCAGGAGAGGUAAGUGGAAUUCCCAGUGUAGCGGUGAAAUGGGUAGAGAUUGGGAGGAACACCAGUGGCGAAGGCGACUUACUGGACUGUAACUGACGCUGAGGCGCGAAAGUGUGGGGAGCAAACAGGAUUAGAUACCCUGGUAGUCCACACUGUAAACGAUGAAUGCUAGGUGUAGGGGGUAUCGACCCCUUCUGUGCCGCAGUCAACACAAUAAGCAUUCCACCUGGGGAGUACGUUCGCAAGAAUGAAACUCAAAGGAAUUGACGGGG